GGAGGGAGCCAAGGGAGUCAAAACCCUAACAUCACAAAUCUCUCAAAUUGAAAGGGGAAAAUUGAAGGUUUAUCAAUGCAUGAGUUAGAAAUGUUCAUCCCUAAGUGAAAUUAACAUCAAGCACAAAGAAGGAAGAAGGCGCAAGUCACUCGAAGGCACAAGCAUCUCAAGAUCGCGGUAAAUCACAUGAUUAAUUGCGGCGCGCUCGGACCGAACAUACACACACAACGUUGACCUUUAUACGCUUCCGGUUCAAGUUGUUUCUUUUGAAUGGGUCGAAACGUCCUUUUGUGUAGUAAAUGUUAAACUAGUUAUUAGGAUGAUGGUAGUAGUUUGAAGUUAAACUUUAUUUUGAAUAGUUUGGAUUUAAUAUUCUAGGUAAAUUGUGUAUGUUUUUUUUUAUUUAGCAUCUUUUGAAUAGUGUCAUAGAAUGUAUCUUGAA